GGAAGCGAGUUAUUUGAAGAUUAUAUUGGACAACUCGCUUUAGCAACUAUAGCAUCUGUAGAAAUUGAAGAAGAAUCGCAGGUCCCUGAAGUUCGGAGACAAAAGGUUCAAGAAAAAAUCAAGGAAUUGCAGAAAGAAAGGGAGAGGAAGCUUAUCCAAAACUUGAAAGAUCAUCUUCAUCCAUAUGUUGCAGGGCAAAAGGAUGAUUUUGUAAGUUGGGCAAACUCAGAAGCUCGCCGCCUUUCUCAAGCUGCCUUUGGGGA
rnacentral:misc_RNA from 1 species